UGAAAGAUUCAGCAAAUGCAAACGUAUGAUGGUCACACUUUCCCUCACUUUGAGUCUAGGGAAAUUAGACUCCUCACUCUCAAGUUGUUAUUCUUCUUUGCUGUCAUUCUAUUCUCCCCAUACAAUAUAACCCUUUCUUGAAUAUCCCCAUCCUAACUAACUCCUCUGGCUUCCUUUACAAUGCUUUCCAUUUACAUCCCCAUCUAGUAGUCCUCCAUCCAAUUGAGGGAUUUUCUCACAUUCUUACCAACUGGGCUUGCUUCCUUAGUUGAUCCAGCUCCAAGUUCUGUAAUCUCUUCUAUUGGGCUUGUUUGUGAGGCUGAGUUAGAGCGCUUGUAUCAGCUAUCCCCUCCUCGACAAUGACCUUGCUCUCAAGGUCCAAUUCUGGAAACAUAUGCAGCAGCUAGUCGAAGUCCACCCAAGUUGUCUCCUCCCGUGGUAAGCCCUCCUAAUCCACGAGGACCUGGUCCACUUGUUUUCCAUCUCUCGAGACGGAGUGCUUCCCUAAAAUCGCCGUAGGUGCAGGUUAGAACGUUGUGGGUGCUGCAGCCAGCACCAGGGUCGAGGCAGUACGCCACCUUCCCAACACGUCGCGGGAUGUGGUUAAAGAAGCGCUUGCCAAGCUCUGGAUGCUCCCUAUGGAAGAGGGAUAUUUGAAGGUAAAAACCCAACUCAUCAUUCAAUAUCUCACGGGGAAGCAACAGGGCAGUAGCUAGGGGGCAAGUUCAUUGGGAAAUCGUGCAUUGCCUCAUGCGGUGUCAUCUGUAUUGCAGAGUGAAUGAGCUAUUAUAGCAAAAUUCGGCCUGGGGAAGAAAGGCCACCCAUUGUUGCGGCUGCGAAUGAGAGAAAGCACGUAGGUACUGCUCAAGGAAAUUAUUAAUGACCUCAAUCUGACCGUCACUUUGCGAAUAAUACGCCAUACUGUAACAUAGUUGGCUACCGGUGAACUCAAAGAGGCUGCACCAGAAGCGAUUGAGGAAGACUGAAGACGGGGUCUCGGUCAGAAAUAAUGAUAGAGCGAAAGCCGUGUAAUUUAACCACCGAUGCAAUAAAGACUUGCAACUGAACUCGCAGUGAAGUCGGCUCUCAGAGGUUCAAAAUGAGCAGUUUUGUUGAACGAUCAACCACCAUAUAAUAGCAGUAUAUCCUGCUGACUUGGGUAACUGAACAAUAAAGUCUAUUAAAAGUUCUAUCCAUGGUCCACACAACAUAGGCCUGGCCAAAAAAAAAUAAAUCACCAACAACCUUAUAACUCUUAAGUACCUUAGGAUGCCCCGUCAUAGGCGUCGCAUGAAAUUCAUUAAGUAGCUGAGUAUGAAGGCCCUCAAAAUCUGGCACCCAGGAGUGUCAGGGUCCUCCCACGUAACCCAAGAGUGAUGGAGUCAAUGAGGUAUUGACAGUUGAAAAGGCUUGUAGGCAGGUGAUAAACUCUAAUUUUGUAGUUUAUUUUAUGUUGAAUUUAGUGGAUUUUAUCAACUUAUCUCACAUUUAUUCAAUGAAAUAGCAUGGUUUUGUGAAUUUCUCCUAACUUGUGCUUAAGAGUAAAAACAUGCAUUUUAGGUCCUUAAAUUGCUAAGUUUAAUUCACUUUAAUUCCAGUCGACGUCUUAAUGUGUUUGAUGAAGUGAUUUCAGCAGGCCUCAGAGGGUUCUUCACCCUGUCUUGAUAAGGCAUCAGCAGCUAAGUUCGUCUUGCCAAAUUGAUACACUACCUUAAAGUCGAAUCCCAAUAACUUUGUAAGGUAAUACUGCUGUUUUGGUGUAAGGACCACCUGGUUCAUGAGUUCACAAAGACCCUAAUGAUCGGUCUUAAUGUAGAACCGACUCCCCAGCAAGUAGUGCCGCCACUUGGCCACUGUCUGGGUAAUAGUAUAAAGCUCCUGAAUAUAAGGCAAAGCAACUGACAAGCGCUGGUUAAGCUUUUUACUAAAGUAAGCUAUAGGAUGUCCCUGCUGUGAUAGUAUUGCUCCUAUGCCAUGACCCGAGGCAUCCAUCUUGACCAUGAAAGGUUGAGAGAAAUUUGGAAGAGCCAACAUUGAUGUUUGUGUCAGGGUUGAUUUGAGUCUCUCAAAAGCAAGGUCAGCUAUGUGGCCCCAAUGGAAGUUGUUGUGCUUGAAAAGUUCUGUCAAUGGGGCAGCGAGGUGUGCAUACUUAGCCACAAAGCAACGGUAAUUAAUACCUGUGAGGCCAAGGAACCCAUGCAGUGGUCUCAGGUUGGAAGGCCUGGGCCAAUCGACGAUGACAGCAAUCUUAGAAUUAUCUACCUAAACUCCAUGUUUAGUCACCACAUGUCCCAAAUACUCAACCUGUUGCUGACAAAAAAUACAUUUAGAGAACUUGGCAAGGAAGUGGUGUUGCUGCAACACAGCGAGGGCUGUCUUAAGGUGAUGUAAGUGCUCUUCUUUGAAUUUGUUGUAAAUUAGAAUAUCAUCGAAAAAUACAGUGAUGAACUUCCAGAGAUAAGGGCCAAAGACUUUGUUUAUAGUGGCCUGGAAGGUAGAAGGAGCAUUGGUGGGACCAAACGGCAUAACAACAAACUCGUAAGGUCCUACAUGAGUCCGAAAAGACGUCUUUGGAAUGUUGAUAUCAUGCACUCGAAUUUGGUGAUACC